CCUACGGGUGGCAGCAGUGAGGAAUAUUGGUCAAUGGCCGUAAGUCUGAACCAGCCAAGUAGCGUGAAGGAUGACUGCCCUAUGGGUUGUAAACUUCUUUUAUAUGGGAAUAAAGUGUUCCACGUGUGGGAGUUUGCAUGUACCGUAUGAAUAAGGAUCGGCUAACUCCGUGCCAGCAGCCGCGGUAAUACGGAGGGUCCGGGCGUUAUCCGGAUUUAUUGGGUUUAAAGGGAGCGUAGAUGGAUUGGUAAGUCAGUAGUGAAAGUUUGGGGCUCAACCGUGAAAUUGCAGUGGAAACUGGCAGUCUUGAGUACAGUAGAGGUGGGCGGAAUUCGUGGUGUAGCGGUGAAAUGCUUAGAUAUCACGAAGAACUCCGAUUGCGAAGGCAGCUCACUGGACUGCAACUGACACUGAGGCUCGAAAGCGUGGGUAGCAAACAGGAUUAGAUACCCUGGUAGUC
rnacentral:rRNA from 1 species